CGUGAACCAUCGAGUCUUUGAACGCAAGUUGCGCCCGAAGCCAUUAGGCCGAGGGCACGCCUGCCUGGGUGUCACCAACCGUCGCCUCAGCCCCAGUGCCUCCGGGCACGGGGCGCGGGGCGGAUGCUGGCCUCCCGCGAGCGAGGUGCCUCGCGGCUGGCCGAAAAUCGAGCCCGCGGCGGAGUGCGGCGCCAUGACAAGACGGUGGUUGAGCGCAAUCUCGAGGCCAGUCAUGCGCGUCCCUCCGCCAGCGGCGGACUCCGUGGACCCGCGAGCGCGGCGUCGGCCGCCCGUGAUGCGACCUCAGGUCAGGCGG
rnacentral:rRNA from 1 species